UAGGCAGAAGCCGAAGGGUGAGGCGCCUAGCUGUUAACUAGGACUAGGACUUAAUGGGAUCGAGACCCAUCUGUCUAG
rnacentral:tRNA from 1 species